rnacentral:misc_RNA from 1 species
UCUCCGUUGGUGAACCAGCGGAGGGAUCAUUACCGAGUUUUCUACUCCCAAACCCCUGUGAACUUAUACCUUUACCGUUGCUUCGGCGGGUUAACGCCCCGGAAAGGCCCCCGAAAGGGAGCCGCCCCGGAACCAGGCGCCCGCCGGGGGACCCAAACUCUUGUAUUUUCUUACCUAGCAUGUCUGAGUGGAAUCAUAAACAAAUGAAUCAAAACUUUCAAUAACGGAUCUCUUGGUUCUG